ensembl:lncRNA
GCAUCGCGCCUCAGACUGAAAAGCUUCAGGUCUCAGGAAAAAGGACGUCAGGUGUCAGGUCUCAUACAAUUAGGCAUCAGACGAAACGGACUCAGACAAAAAGGCAUCAGACGAAACGGACUCAGACAAAAAGGCAUCAGACGAAACGGACUCAGGAAAAAAGGCAUCAGACGAAACGGACUCAGGAAAAAAGGCAUCAAAAGAAACGGACUCAGACAAAAAGGCAUCAGAUGAAACGGACUCAGACAAAAAGGCAUCAGACGAAACGGACUCAGGUGGAGUAUCGCGUUGCCCCGCCCCAGGUGACGUCACACGCACGCGGUUCAGAGGAAGUGGUAUAUAACGGUUGAUUGAUGGCAAAAGGAGGUAAGCAGCGUCUGAUAUAUUAUAUUUUAACAGUUUUAUUCAAAUGUUACACUAAUUAAGUUAUAUACGGAAGAGAACAUGCAUUUCGAGAGUCUUGUGUGCACGUUUAAAAUGUUAGUUAGCCAUAUUGCAACUAGC